CAAACUACCAGAGAACUACGAAUGAAAAUUUAAAACUCAAAGGACUUGGCGGUUUUUUAGAUCUUCCUGGAGGAGCUUGCUAUCCAACCGAUAAUCCACGAAAAACCUCACCAACCAUUGAAAAAUUCAGCCUGUAUACCAUCGUCGUCAGUCUACCUUCCGAAAGAAGUUUUCUUAAAGAAUUUUCUUCCCUUCCUAACGUCAGAUCGAGGUGCAGCUAAUAACUUGGCGAUAAGUGAGCUACAAUAAACCAUCAAACUAACCCCCAAUAUGGACAAUAUUUUGAAAAAAAUACUCAAAAUAGGAUUCAGCAGUAACAUCUACCAGAAAAUAGAUGUGAAACACUCAUUAA
rnacentral:rRNA from 1 species